rnacentral:rRNA from 1 species
GACAGAGGGUGCAAACGUUGCUCGGAAUCACUGGGCGUAAAGCGCACGUAGGCGGAUUGUUAAGUCGGGGGUGAAAUCCUGGAGCUCAACUCCAGAACUGCCUUCGAUACUGGCGAUCUCGAGUCCGGGAGAGGUGAGUGGAACUCCGAGUGUAGAGGUGAAAUUCGUAGAUAUUCGGAAGAACACCAGUGGCGAAGGCGGCUCACUGGCCCGGUACUGACGCUGAGGUGCGAAAAGCGUGGGGAGCAAACAGG